AUGAAUCUCCUGGCUUGGAACUGUCCGGGACUAGGGUUGGACUUGACAGUGGGCGAAUUACGAGACCUUAUUAGGUCCCACAACCUAGCGGCGGUGUUUUUAUGCGAAACAAAAAAGAAGGCGAGAUCAAUGGAGAGGCUCAAAUGGAGUUUGGGGUUUACGUUAGGAGUUGCAAUGGACUGCGAGGGUCGUAGUGGCGGUCUGGCUUUAUGGUGGAGAGAUCAUGUGCAAGUAACUGUGAGGUCAUGGUGCCAAUACUUUAUCGAUGCAGAAGUGAUGUGUGAGGGGAAGACUUGUAGAAUCACUGGAUUCUACGGGAACCUCGCACAGAAUUACAGAAAAAAUCCUGGGAUGCAAUCCGUUAUCUGUGAGCACAAGAUGACCAUCCAUGGAUAUGUUUGGGUGACUUUAAUGAAGCUUUGUUUUAGACGGACCAGCGUGGUGGUAACCCUAGAAGCUUUACGAAAUGGAAGACUUCAGUGA
rnacentral:rRNA from 1 species